rnacentral:rRNA from 1 species
UACGUAGGGUGCGAGCGUUAAUCGGAAUUACUGGGCGUAAAGCGUGCGCAGGCGGUUCGUUGUGUCUGGUGUGAAAGCCCCGGGCUUAACCUGGGAAUGGCAUUGGAAACUGGCGAGCUGGAGUGUGGCAGGAGGGGGUGGGAAUUCCGCGUGUAGCAGUGAAAUGCGUAGAGAUCGGGAGGAACAUCAGUUGCGAAGGCGGCUCUCUGGACCAGCACUGACACUGAGGCACGAAAGCGUGGGGAGCAAACAGG